GUUACGGUGAAUUUUAUCAUUAUUUGUCUAGUGGUGGUAAAGAAGUUGUGACUGAAUAUGCUCAAAGGCAUAAUUUAAUUCUAAAGCCAAAAAACUACGAGUUGUGGAGGAGCUAUUUGUCGGAUCGACUACAACAGGAACGCCUUUAGAUGUGAUUGCUCUGUAGGGAUGAAAGGACGUCGGCGUAAGCGAUGCGACACCCAAAUCCAUCCACCACGAUCAGAGACUUAUGAUGAAUGCGUUGGAAGAGGGCGAACUCGGGACUUGAAGAAUGCAAACCAGAAAGCUGGAACAACAAUCAGCGAUAAUCUGAGCUGAGUAGUACGUGCUAUUUGCUGGUCUUCAGAGGUGGCGAGGAAAAAGAUUGAUGAGCAGAUUAGUUUGAAAACUUGUUGCUGUAAAAAUGAAGUUAAGUGGCACAUAAAUGAUUCAUUCUGCUGCCCAAGAGAGCUCGAGAGUCGACGCCCCCCAAGAGCUCGAGAGUUGAAUUGCACUAUAUAUUUUUCCACCAUAUGACGUGGGAUUAAAUAUUAUUCCGUCGGAAUAAGGCGCUUGAGACAAUUCCUCACCCAUAUAUAUUUUUUAAGCAAUAUGCUGCCAAGUUAUUUUGUAUCACUAACGCUACUACUGAAACAUUUGUCAGUUUCCCAAACUUUCAGAUGAAGGGUGACUUUCCUGCUGCAAGAUGGAGUAGCAGUUUAUGUACCGUGCGUUUGUAAAUGUCACCAUCUCAAGACCCAGCCUUGAGGUUGUGACAUUUCUAAAAACGCACGGUAGAUAUAUACUUGUGCAACUCCAUCGUGCAGCAGAAAAGUCACCCAGUACCUGAAGGUGGGAUAAUAAAACACCAACGUUUCUCAAAUAGUGCCAUUGACAAGAGUGAUACAAAAUUACCUCUGACAAUUGCAUAAUGAUUUAUAUUUAUUGAUGAAGAAUUAAGAGAUAAUUUGUGUAUGUUAUACUAAA